UUGCGGUGAAGAUGCCGUAUACCCGCGGCUAGACGGAAAGACCCCGUGAACCUUUACUACAGCUUGGCACUGAACAUUGACCCUACAUGUGUAGGAUAGGUGGGAGGCUUUGAAGCAUUGUCGCUAGAUGAUGUGGAGCCGACCUUGAAAUACCACCCUUGUAGUGUUGAUGUUCUAACUUAGGUCCCUGAAUCGGGAUUGAGGACAGUGCCUGGUGGGUAGUUUGACUGGGGCGGUCUCCUCCCAAAGAGUAACGGAGGAGCACGAAGGUUGGCUAAGUAUGGUCGGACAUCAUACGGUUAGUGCAAUGGCAUAAGCCAGCUUAACUGCGAGACAGACACGUCGAGCAGGUACGAAAGUAGGUCAUAGUGAUCCGGUGGUUCUGCAUGGAAGGGCCAUCGCUCAACGGAUAAAAGGUACUCCGGGGAUAACAGGCUGAUACCGCCCAAGAGUUCAUAUCGACGGCGGUGUUUGGCACCUCGAUGUCGGCUCAUCACAUCCUGGGGCUGAAGUCGGUCCCAAGGGUAUGGCUGUUCGCCAUUUAAAGUGGUACGCGAGCUGGGUUCAGAACGUCGUGAGACAGUUCGGUCCCUAUCUGCCGUGGGCGUUUGAGAAUUGAGAGGGGCUGCUCCUAGUACGAGAGGACCGGAGUGGACGAACCUCUGGUGUUCCGGUUGUCACGCCAGUGGCAUUGCCGGGUAGCUAAGUUCGGAAUCGAUAACCGCUGAAAGCAUCUAAGCGGGAAGCGAGCCUCAAGAUGAGUUCUCACUUGGACUUUAAGUCCACUAAAGGGCCGUGGAAGACUACCACGUUGAUAGGCAGGGUGUGUAAGCGUUGUGAGGCGUUGAGCUAACCUGUACUAAUGACCCGUGAGGCUUAACCAUACAACACCCAAUGGGUUU
rnacentral:rRNA from 1 species